ACUACGGGAGGCAGCAGUGGGGAAUAUUGCGCAAUGGGCGAAAGCCUGACGCAGCGACGCCGCGUGAGGGAUGAAGGUCUUCGGAUCGUAAACCUCUGUCAGCAGGGAAGAACGGUCACUGUGCUAAUCAGCAGUGAAUUGAUGGUACCUGCAAAGGAAGCACCGGCUAACUCCGUGCCAGCAGCCGCGGUAAUACGGAGGUUGCGUGCGUUAAUCGGAAUUACUGGGCGUAAAGCGCUCGUAGGCGGUAUGUCAAGUCAAGGGUGAAAUCCCCGCGCUCAACGUGGGAACGGCCUUUGAAACUGGCAAACUGGAGUGUGUGGGAGGAUGGUGGAAUUCCAGGUGUAGGAGUGAAAUCCGUAGAUAUCUGGAGGAACAUCAGUGGCGAAGGCGACUAUCUGGCACAUAACUGACGCUGAGGAGCGAAAGCGUGGGUAGCAAACAGGAUUAGAUACCCCUGUAGUC
rnacentral:rRNA from 1 species